UUUACCUCCUGAGGGUGAAGACCUCAGCGCCCGCACCUGAAAUUUUCAUCUACUUGAUCAGGCUACUAAGAAGACCCCAUUUUCAAUGUGUCACCAAAAAGGGAAAACCAAUUAUGUGCUUGUUCAUUCACACCAAAAAGAUGAAGCAGCAGGAUAAAUAACUGAAGAAUAUCAUUGGACAGAUAAUCCAGGAAGGCUUUGAUCAGUCCUCAAGUGGCAGUUCAAAUGGCACAAAAUCUCUGCAACUCUGCACCCUGAACACUUCUCAAGGCACAAGUGCUUGCAACUUCUCAGAACAGACGCACUCAAAAAAUCAUGGCAAGUUAUAAAGAGGAGCCGGAUGAAAUAAUUGUUCAAAUACAGAGGCCUGGAGCCAUUCCUUGCUUGUAUUAGGUGGAGAGCAGGUAAACAGCCGGAAUCUGUUGUCAGUCGGUGCUAACACAGAUAGACAGACUCUCACAUUGGUACCUGUGGGACAGCUGGAGUCCAUAAUCCACCUGAUGUGUCACUGGAAGGAAACACAGCGGAGACCUUCAUGAAAACAGAGAUAACAUGCAGGAGCACACAGCCCCCGUUGCUAUGAUGUUUGCCAAUGUUCUGAAUUAAAACCGGAAUAGAGAUAAUACAUGCAAACAAAUUUUCCACCUUGGUGAACACCUUUGUCAUGCUCAUUGUUUCGCUGACAAAGCCUGAUGUGUCAGAUCUAAAUGCUUCUUCAUUAAAGGAAUAAUCGCAAUAUUGUUUCCUCAAGCCAAAAAUUAGAGGAGGACAUACAGUAUAUACUGCUCUUAUGUGUGUUAAAUAUGAAGUCAACACCUGGGUACCUUAGAUGAGCAGAAAAAAUGGAAACAGAUGGAAACACAAGCUCUGCCCAUAGGUUUAAUUUGGCUUCCAGCACUUCCAAAUAUCUCCAGUUGACAUUUUUCAUUACCCAUUUUCUAUAUCCAUGUUAGAACUUAUAAAGAAGUUUCAGAAGUUGUUGUGGUCACUGCGAUGUUGCCUGGCAACCAGGACAUCGCUGCACCUGGCCAGGAAAAAGUCAGGUACAAAACUUCCAGGUAAAGCAAAGAUUUUAAUUAUUUGGUAUUUAAAAUAUUAAUAUUCAUCACUAAGUAAUAAUCAUGAGUAUAGUUAGAAAAGAAAUCAUAAUUAUUAUGUUACGGCCACCAGUAUUGGGGUGCCGCCUGGUUCCUGGGGAGGAGAUUGCAUGUGUGGGUUCAGCUGUGGCUGUUCUCAGAGUCUCUCCGGAACCCCAGCUGCCAGUCAUUCCAACUAACGACUCAGGAGUAGACGACCUGCACUGCAGCCCUGUUCUCCCCGCCUCUGGACCUUCCUGAUUGGGCCACCCUCCAGCUCCCCUCCACCUCUAACCAAUCAGACACAGCCAUCGCCACACCUGCAGACUAUAUACCUGCAGGCAUGCUGUUAAUCGAGGUGGCUGGUAUCUGUGAUCAGGCUGCCCUGGUGUCUCUCUGAGUGCUAUGUUGUUUGUGUUUCUGUGAUGUGUUUCGGUCUGUAGAUACUCAUGGUGGGUUCUACAGACACUUUGAGCUCCUGUUGGCAGCUGUACUUUGGUGUGGAACCUACAGCCUCAGUGGAGGCUGAGGCUCCAGGUAGCAGUCCGCCAACUUAGUGGAGAAGCUGCUCGGUAUUUAGAGUCUUCGUAAACUGUGUUCAGUAUGUGAGAGUGAGGCACCAGUUUUGUUUAGUUAAUUUUUGCACUCUGGUAUUAGUUUCUGUUACUUGUGGUGGGUGUUGCUGAUGUACUUAUGUUUGGCUAAGGAGUUUAGUUACUUUGUUUUGGGUUUACAUAGUUUAGAAACUCUGUUAGCCUUCGUUUUGUUAGAUUCUGUUCUUUGAUUUAGCAACACUCACCAGUCUUGUGUUCUUUAUUAUCACUUUUAUGUUCCAUUUGCCACUAAGCAAUAAAUCCCUUCACCUGAACCAAUAACAUUCUGGUUAUUUUGUUGCAUCCAGCCACAAGUGUUCACCGCAUGCACACACAAAUGUUCAACAAAAACUUUUCAGAGUGAACUGACUGUACUGAAUCACUAUUGUCACAGCAGCCACUGAACAGC